CGCACAUUGCGCCCUCUAGUAUUCUGGAGGGCAUGCCUGUUCGAGCGUCAUUUCAAAUCCUCAAGCCCUUGCUGCUUGGUGUUAGGGACCGCUGUAAGAAGCGCCCCGCAAAGAAAUUGGCGGAGUUGUCUAGCACUCUCAGCGUAGUAAUUCUUCUCGCUUUAGGGGACUGGCGGCGCCUGCCACAAGCCUAUAUUUCACAUGGUUUGACCUCGGAUCAGGUAGGAAUACCCGCUGAACUUAA
rnacentral:misc_RNA from 1 species